GCUUAACAGUUAACAGCAAGAAGGAGCCUUUCAAAGACUUCCCCCUCCUCCCCCAGCUAAUUUCAGGGGACUCUGUUCCAGUGGGCAUUGAACAUAUACUGGUGGGCUGCCGUCUACGGGACACGACUGAAGCGACUCAGCAGCAGCAGCACAUCCAGCAAACAGGUUCCUGCUUUCAGGUUCACUAAUUCCUCCUCCUACGUAGAUUCAUAGAUAAUAUCCAUAAGAUCUGGAAACUAAAGAGCAAAUUGAGAACAGCACUUGGUAGAGUGGAGACCAGGAAGCUAAAACUGGAAAAUGCCCCACAGAUGAUUCCAACGCCAACAGAAAGGGGCUCAGUGAUGUCCGACCCUUUGUGACUCCAUGGACUGCAGCACGCCAGGCUUCCCUGUCCUUCAGCAGCUUCUGGAGUUUGCUCAGACUCAUG
ensembl:lncRNA